GGGCGCAGCCUGACCCCCGCCGCAGCGCCGCCCCGCCGCUGCUCCCGAACGCACGGCGGGCUGCUUCCAGGAGUCUCCGAGGCAUGACCACUUGUUACAGGGCCCCACAUCAACUCCUCUGCUAACAUCGACCUCUUACCCAGAAGUGGCGCUUACCUGCCCCUGGUCCCACUGCAAGGUAUCACCUUUCCUCGGGCUAUUUCUGCAGCUAGGCAGAAAGAAGAAGGAAAAGAACUAAGAAGAGCCUGUGGCUGUAUGUGGAUGCCAGGCUUCCUAUUUUAAGUUUGGUUUCAAGAAAGCUUUGCUAUAUUUUAUAUGCAGGGGCCAAAGGGCCAGAGACUCACAAAUGACUCAACGCUUCCUUUCUUCCUCUUAAAGAAACACGCCCAAGGCUUAAUGGCCCUAAAUGAGAAUUCCAUGAAGAAUAAAGAAAUUUACUUCUA